AUUGAACGCUGGCGGCAUGCCUUACACAUGCAAGUCGAACGGUAACAGGUCUUCGGAUGCUGACGAGCGGCGAACGGGUGAGUAAUACAUCGGAACGUGCCUAGUAGUGGGGGAUAACUACUCGAAAGAGUGGCUAAUACCGCAUGAGAUCUACGGAUGAAAGCAGAGGAUCGCAAGACCUUGUGCUACUAGAGCGGCCGAUGGCAGAUUAGGUAGUUGGUGGGAUAAAAGCUUACCAAGCCGACGAUCUGUAGCUGGUCUGAGAGGACGAUCAGCCACACUGGGACUGAGACACGGCCCAGACUCCUACGGGAGGCAGCAGUGGGGAAUUUUGGACAAUGGGCGAAAGCCUGAUCCAGCAAUGCCGCGUGCAGGAUGAAGGCCUUCGGGUUGUAAACUGCUUUUGUACGGAACGAAAAGCCCCGGGUUAAUACCCUGGGGUCAUGACGGUACCGUAAGAAUAAGCACCGGCUAACUACGUGCCAGCAGCCGCCGCAG
rnacentral:rRNA from 1 species